rnacentral:misc_RNA from 1 species
AGCAGCCGCGGUAAUUCCAGCUCCAAUAGCGUAUAUUAAAGUUGUUGCAGUUAAAAGCUCGUAGUUGAAUUUCGGGAUUGGCGCAUCGGUCGUGCCUCACGGGGUAUGAACUGGUGCAGUCAAUUUCUCACCCUCUGGAGAACCGCGAUGUCCUUAAUUGGACGCCGCGGGGAACCAGGACCUUUACUUUGAAAAAUUAGAGUGUUUAAAGCAGGCAUUUUUGCUUGAAUACAUUAGCAUGGAAUAAUAAAAUAGGACGGCAUGGUUCUAUUUUGUUGGUUUCUAGGACCACCGUAAUGAUUAAUAGGGAUAGUUGGGGGCAUUAGUAUUCAAUUGUCAGAGGUGAAAUUCUUGGAUUUAUUGAAGACUAACUACUGCGAAAGCAUUUGCCAAGGAUGUUUUCAUUAAUCAAGAACGAAAGUUAGGGAUCGAAGACGAUCAGAUACCGUCGUAGUCUUAACCAUAAACUAUGCCGACUAGGAAUCAGACGAUGUUAAUUUUUUAAUGUACUCGUUUUGGC